CUAAUACCCUAUACGCCCUCAGGGGGAAAGAUUUAUCGCCGAGAGAUUGGCCCGCGUUAGAUUAGCUAGUUGGUGAGGUAAUGGCUCACCAAGGCUACGAUCUAUAGCUGGUUUGAGAGGAUGAUCAGCCACACUGGGACUGAGACACGGCCCAGACUCCUACGGGAGGCAGCAGUGGGGAAUAUUGGACAAUGGGGGCAACCCUGAUCCAGCGAUGCCGCGUGAGUGAUGAAGGCCUUAGGGUUGUAAAACUCUUUCAGGUGGGAAGAUAAUGACGGUACCACCAGAAGAAGCUCCGGCUAACUCCGUGCCAGCAGCCGCGGUAAUACGGAGGGAGCUAGCGUUGUUCGGAAUUACUGGGCGUAAAGCGCGCGUAGGCGGCUUAGCUAAGUUGGGGGUGAAAUCCCGGGGCUUAACCUCGGAACUGCCUCCAAAACUGCUGAGCUAGAAUCCUGGAGAGGUGAGCGGAAUUCCUAGUGUAGAGGUGAAAUUCGUAGAUAUUAGGAAGAACACCAGUGGCGAAGGCGGCUCACUGGACAGGUAUUGACGCUGAGGUGCGAAAGCGUGGGGAGCGAACAGGAUUAGAUACCCUGGUAGUCCACGCCGUAAACGAUGGAUGCUAGAUGUUG
rnacentral:rRNA from 1 species